UGCAAUCAGACCUGCCUUCCACA
rnacentral:misc_RNA from 1 species